CAGUAGCCGCGGGAAUACAGAGGGUGCGAGCGUUAAUCGGAUUUACUGGGCGUAAAGCGUGCGUAGGCGGCUUUUUAAGUCGGAUGUGAAAUCCCUGAGCUUAACUUAGGAAUUGCAUUCGAUACUGGGAAGCUAGAGUAUGGGAGAGGAUGGUAGAAUUCCAGGUGUAGCGGUGAAAUGCGUAGAGAUCUGGAGGAAUACCGAUGGCGAAGGCAGCCAUCUGGCCUAAUACUGACGCUGAGGUACGAAAGCAUGGGGAGAAAACAGGAUUAGAUACCCCGGUAGUCCCUGUCUCUUAUAC
rnacentral:rRNA from 1 species